GAUGAAGAACGCAGUGAAAUGCGAUAAGUAAUGUGAAUUGCAGAAUUCAGUGAAUCAUCGAAUCUUUGAACGCACAUUGCGCCCGCCAGUAUUCUGGCGGGCAUGCCUGUUCGAGCGUCAUUUCAACCAUCAAGCCCCAGGCUUGUGUUGGGGACCUGCGGCUGCCGCAGGCCCUGAAAACCAGUGGCGGGCUCGCUGUCACACCGGGCGUAGUAGAUUUUAUCUCGCUCAGGGCGUGCUGCGGGUUCCGGCCGUUAAAAAGCCUUUUUUACCCAAGGUUGACCUCGGAUCAGGUAGGAAGACCCGCUGAACUUAAGCAUAUCAAUAAGCAGAGGA
rnacentral:misc_RNA from 1 species